GCUCAGGAUGAACGCUAGCGGCGCGCUUAAUGCAUGCAAGUCGAGCGAUGAGACUCCUACGGGAGCACAUCAGCGGCAGACGGGUGAGUAACACGUAGAUGACGUACCCUCAAGACGGGGAUAACGGAUGGAAACAUGCGCUAAUACCGGAUGACCUUACGAUGUCAGAAUGGUAAGGAAAGCUACGGCGCUUGAGGAGCGGUCUGCGGCCCAUCAGCUAGUUGGUAGGGUAAAGGCCUACCAAGGCGAAGACGGGUAGGGGGUGUGAGAGCACGGCCCCCCACAAUGGGACUGAGACACGGCCCAUACUCCUACGGGAGGCAGCAGCAGGGAAUAUUGCACAAUGGACGGAAGUCUGAUGCAGCGACGCCGCGUGAGUGAAGAAGGCCUUCGGGUUGUAAAACUCUUUUGAGGGGGAAGAGCGAGGACGGUACCCCUGGAAUAAGCGUCGGCUAACUACGUGCCAGCAGCCGCGGUAAGACGUAGGACGCGAGCGUUAUCCGGAUUUACUGGGCGUAAAGCGUCUGUAGGCGGAUGUGUAAGUUGGGCGUGAAAGCUCCGGGCUUAACCCGGAGAGGCCGUUCAAUACUGCAUAACUUGAGGGUGUCAGAGGGGAGCGGAAUUCCCGGUGUAGCGGUAAAAUGCGCAGAGAUCGGGAGGAACACCAGUGGCGGAGGCGGUUCCCUGGGGCACACCUGACGCUGAGAGACGAAAGCUAGGGGAGCGAACAGGAUUAGAGACCCUGGUAGUCCUAGCCCUAAACGAUGAAUGCUAGGUGUGGGAUCGAAUGGUUCCGUGCCGGAGCGAACGCGAUAAGCAUUCCGCCUGGGGAGUACGGCCGCAAGGUUAAAACUCAAACGAAUUGACGGGGCCCCGCACAAGCAGCGGAGCGUGUGGUUUAAUUCGAUGCUACACGAAGAACCUUACCUGGGUUUGACAUGUAGGUGGUAGUGAAUCGAAAGGUGAACGACCCUUCGGGGAGCCUACACAGGUGCUGCAUGGCUGUCGUCAGCUCGUGCCGUGAGGUGUCGGGUUAAGUCCCGUAACGAGCGCAACCCUUGCUCCUAGUUACAAGUGUCUAGGGGGACUGCCA
rnacentral:rRNA from 1 species